rnacentral:tRNA from 2 species
GGGUCGUUAGCUCAGUUGGUAGAGCAGGGGACUUUUAAUCCCAAGGUCAUGGGUUCAACUCCCAUACGGCCCACCA